GAAAUAAGAUUUUAAAUGAGUGCUAAGAGAAUGAUUAAACAAUUAAAAGCUUUCUUUAAUUAAAAAAUUAAAUUUAAUUUUUUAGUGCAAAAGCAAAAAUAAAAUUUAGGGACAAGAAGACCCUAUGAAUUUUUAUUGUUAAUAAUUAAAAUUUAAGUUAUUAAUAAUUUAAUUGGGGCGAUAAAAAAAGAAUGAGUAUCUUUUUAGUUAUAAAAUAAGUUCCGUUUUUAGCGAUUAAAUGAAAUAAAUACUCUAGGGAUAACAGCGUAAUAAUUUUGGAUAGUUCAUAUAGAUAAAAUAGUUUGCGACCUCGAUGUUGGAUUAGGAUUCUU
rnacentral:rRNA from 1 species